AGGGGGAAUCACAGCAUUAGGCAAUAUCCUGUUAGUAUGGUGUAUGGUUUACCUGGACAUAUUUCAAUAUAUUUAAAGUCUGCAUUAUUCAAACACCACAAACUUGGGGGACUGCUUCCGGGGACAGUGGCGUCGGCGCCAACAGGCUGACACUGCGCUUGCUGUGCAGGGCCGCCUGCAAAGCCUGGCGGGAGAGCUUUCCCCGGAGCGGGCGUGAUGUGGCUCGCUGGUUCUGGGCCACAUGGCCAAGGGGCUGAAGAAGAUGCAGAACAGCCUGAAGUGGAUAGACUAUGUUGUUGAGGUCCACGAUGCCCAGAUCCCACUUUCAGGACACAGCCCUCUGUUUCAGGAAACCCUUAGGAUUAAGCCUCACCUGCUGGUCCUCAACAAAAUGGACUUGGCGGAUCUUACAGAGAAGCAGAAAAUUAAGCAGCACUUAGAAGGAGAAGGCCUAAAAAAUGUCAUUUUCACUAACUGUGUAAAGGAUGAAAACGUCAAGCAGGUCAUCCCCAUGGUCACUAAGCUGAUUGGGAGCAGCUGCCAGUACCAGCGAGGAGAGAACAUGACUACUGCAUCAUGGUGACCGGAGUCCUCAACCGGGGCAAGUCCUCCCUUAUCAGCUCCCUCAGGAGGCAGCAUCUCAGGAAAGGGAAAGCUACCAGGGUGGGUGCUGAGCCUGGGAUCUCACCAGAGCUGUGAUGUCCAGAAUUCAGGUCUGUGAACAGCCACUCAUGUUCCUCCUGGACGCUCCUGGUGUGCUGUUUCCUCAGAUAGAAAGUGUGGGACGGUGCUGGACCACCUAGUUGGGGAGGAGACCAUGGCCGACUACCUGCUGUACACACUCAAUAAGCACCAGCUCUUCAGGUAUGUGCAACACUACAGCCUGGGUGGUGCUUGUGACAACAUAGAGCAUGUGCUAAAGAGCGUGGCUGUGAAGCUACGAAAGACGCAGAAGGUGAAGGUGCUCACGGGCACAGGUGAUGUGAACAUCGUUCAGCCCAACUACCCUACGGCAGCCUAAGAGUUCCUCCAGACUUUCCGUAGGGGCCAGCUGGGCCCGGUGAUGCUGGACCUUGAUGUCUUGCAGGGCCACCCCCCUGCAGAGGCAGACCCUUGA